UAUGCGGCCUAGGUAGGCCUUGAAAAAUCCAACGUGGGUUUUUCUAGUUCUGUCACCAUAGUGUCACAAAGCCAGACCACGGAUAAAUGCUUGAUUUCUGUCCCAUUCAGCGAACAAAUUGCACACCCCAUUAACACUGACCAAGGAGUAUAGUUCUGACCCUAAUGUUGGCUGAUUUUCCUUUAUGUCAAAAAUUAAGUAAAAAAACAGUGAAACUCAACGUCGGAUCUUCACUGCUUCCAAACUUUCUUCAGUUAUUUCCCUCCUUCCCAACUUCACUCUUUUUGGAGCUUCACUCACACCUCAAUGACAUAAAUGAGGAACUUCUCUACGGAAGUCAAAUAACAGUGUUGAAGUGCUGGAGGGGUAUCUCCUCACCUUGUGCUGUUCACAACUUAAAAGGCUGCAGACACCAUACACAUUCAGGUUUCAUCUGCAUUAUUAACAUUUCCCCACUCAUUUCCUUAAGGGAACAAUCCACAACAAAUCAAACCCCGAUUUGUAGAUUUCCUCGGUGUAAAUAUUUACGCCAUUGCUGAUUUCAAGCCACCAAAUAUGGGGAAGCUGAACUCAGCAUUUGCUACCAAACCAGGUUUGUUUGCCCCACCAGCAGCAGGCCAGCACUAUCAUGCUGAAGUUCACAGCAGAGAAAGGUUUUGUUCAGCCACAUAAGGAGACAGGAGAACAAAUCUCAGAUCCACUUUGGGGAAGGCAAGAGGCUAGAUAUUUACGGGAUAAAGAAGCAGAGUGGUCUUAGGCAUGGGGAAAUGUGAUUGGAGGUAGGGAAAAAGCAAAGUAAUCGGUGUUCUGCGCAGGCCCAGUUUUAGGGUCGGUGGUCCCAACUAGUCAUAGCUGGUCUGAACUGGGCAGGAGCCAACUCCAAAUUUCUGGAAAACAACUUAAGCCCCCGUUACUAUGGUGACCUACACGUCAGAAGCGUUAUCUACAGAGGUGGUUAAGAAGUCUGGUGAUAUAUUACCCAGGCUACGUGAAGCUUGGAGGGUAUGCAGUUAGAGAAAGGGAAAAAAACAACCAAAGCUGGCUUAAUCAAUAAAGGCAGGUUACAAGCAGCGGGGUUUCUAACAGGCUGUUCCCUUAUCUGCUGUUCAGUGAGACGAACUCAAGGAUUUGUGCUGACAGCUUCUGUUAACCCUGUGGGGUGCGGUUUCACACUGAGAAGAGAUGCUGCACUUACACCACACAGACGUAACAGACAUGAACAAAGUCAAGAAUAUAGAUAGUAGAAAAUGUGCAACGUAGUAACAUAAUUAAGCACUGAUGAGUUUUGAGUUUUUAUUACCUUUGUUUUUAACAUAAUUUACUUAAGCCUAAAUUUAUGCAACUUAAUUCUCAAUAAUGGCUGUGUUUGUCUCUGGCUUUCAGUUUUCCUGAAAAUUUAGAAAUCAGCUCUCACUGUAGGACUGGCUUUAGCAGACCACUGGCCUAGCACAUAGUAAACACUUAACAGAUUCAAGCUGAAUGAAUGCACUGUAUUGUAAUUAGUUGUUAAAGAUGUGUGUCCACCUGACUUAACGGAGUUGCAGUGAGAGCCCCAGUGCCUGGCACAUGGCAAGAGUUCACUAAAUGUUUGUUGAAGAUCUGACUCUUAGCAGCAUCUUGAGUCCUGAUAAAUCAGAGGCUCCUUGAUAGUAGGUACCUGGGCCCUCAGAUCAUCAGCAAUGCAAGGUCCCCCAGUUUUUUAAAAGAAAUUUGACUUAGAUAUACAGGUAUCCCCGCUUUUGAAAGUUCGCACUGAGCCUCUUGGCUUUUACGAAGACCUACGAUAGUAUGGCAACGGCUUUUUUCUCAUAAAAGUGAAAAUUCUCUUUGGAUUUAUUUUGGUUAGUGGAAUCAGGUACUUGGGUGGUUCCUUUGUAAAAGCGAAGUGGGGGAACUCAGAUUUUCGGGAAGCUGGGGAACCUGUAUAUUUUCUAACGCCUCACUGCAGUCAUCAGAGGGAAAACAGUAUUUUUAGACCUUAUCACGCUUCUUUUAUGAUUUAGUGCUUUUUAAUUACAAGUGGGAUGAGAAUGGAAAGCCUUUCAUGUUGAGAACCUCUAAAGGCCUUAACACAUCCCAGUCUUUCCUCUCUCCCAGCACCUUCUACUGCAUGUUAAACUCACCUGCCUUUCAUGACGAAUGUGAAACUACAGAAGGAAAGAAGGAGUUUAUUUGUGCUCAUUUGGAAGCUCAGAGUUUGUGCUUAAUUGGAAGAAUAUACAGGCAGCCUCUCUCUCUUACUGUCUCUGUGGAGAAAGUGAGGGGUAGAGGAAAAAGAGUGAGAAAUGGCAGACGGAGAAUCACGCAGGGAAUUCCUUUUGACCCCUCACCCCGCAGUUGCCCCACAUCUCAGCUGAAUCCUAAGUGGUCAGGCUGAGGAGGCAGAGAUUCAGCAUACAAAGUUAUUAGGGGUUGAUUAAUUGUGUAACCUAAGGUAUUUGUUCUUCUAAAUAAUUUAUGAAGUUCUUGGAAAUACUAAGCUCUAACACAUUUAAAUUGCAAGUUAAUAGACUGAUGUCCUCUAGGACGUUAAAUUUCUUUGUAGCCUAGUAUGUACAGAAUAAUCUUGUUUCUUUUUUUUUUUAAAGAGCAUAUGCAUCUAUGUGGGGAUAUGGGGUAUUUGAAGGGAAUAGAAAAAGAGCUGGGAGGAUAUGUGACAAAUACAAUUAACUCCUGAGCAAUGAGUUGAAGAGAAGGCAGAGAAAGGCACCCACAUUUUUCACUUUAUAUUUCUGUAUUCUGCAUUUUUAAGCAAACUCCAGCCCCCAGGCCAGGACUUGGGUUCAGAACCCAGCCCCUCUCACAAGCUUUGUGACCCAGAGCAAGUCAGAACCUCUCCAAGCCUCCGGUCCCUCAUUUAUAAAGUGGGGAUCAUGGUACCAGCCUCACAGAGCAGUUGUGUGGUUUAAGUCACCUCCCCGAAGAGCUCAAGAAAUAGAAACGACUUCCCAGGCAGUUUCUAUGCUUUGUACCUCGCAUGGUGUCUCAUUUUAAAGCAGAUGCUUCCUAGGGUGAGAGAACUUUAUUCCAGUGACACUUGUGGAAUGCCCAGGCACUUUAGACUCUGAAGAGAAAGGUCCAGGGCUGAGGUAUUACAUUAUAGGAAAUGGAUGUUCAGUUGGCCCUUGAACAACACGGGUUUGAACUGCUCAGGUCCACUUAUACGUGGAUUUUUUCCAGUAGUACACGAUCUGCAGUUUGUUGAAUCUGCAGGUGCAGAACCACAGAUUUGGAGGGCUAACUCUAAGUUACACAGGAAUUUUCAAUUGGGGUUGGGGGGGUGGGCCCCUACCCACCUCUCUCUCAAGGGUCCGCUGUGUUUGACUGGAACUGUUUUUACUCGAUGAAAAGCGAGCACGUGCACUGGCCACUAGGUAGCAGCAUCGCGCCACAAAACAAGGCCCUUCCUGUCCCUGGUGGUGACUGGUCCACACUGAGCGCUGACUUGCUCCUGGUGUUGUUCUAGGUGCCCAUUUUCUAUCUCAGCUGCCCUCGGAGAUAAGCAGAAGGAAGUUGUGCUUGAUGUUAUAAAAGGGCUACAAUUUCUGCCGACGGAGGCCCUUUGCUGGAAUAGCCACCAGACUGACCCUGCGGCAGCUGGGCUGGACAGGACCAACUUGGCUGGAGGCAGAACGCGUCUGUGGCCACCUCCAUCCACUUUCUGAGGUGUUCGACUGCCUCUCCUUCUGCAGAUAAGAGGAAAAUAUUUAACAAGGCCAGAAGGAAGUAAACUAAUUUGGACGUAAUGAAACCGGCUGCAAGCUUUUCUGCCAGUGAGGCUAUGGCUCCGUGUGGCUGAGAAAUACACUGAAAUAAUCAAGAGGGAGGAACUAGCAGACUGAACACCUGGCAGAAAGCAGGGGAAGUAAGGUGAAGCUGAUGGAGACCCAGCAGGUACGAAGGCACCUGUCCCAUGCCCCGAAGUUCUAUGUCCGGCCAGGACACACAACCAGGUCCCAAGAGGGGAGGGCAGAGGGCAUGACAGUCGUCACAAAACUACUUUAAAAGGGGCAGUGUGGACACUCGAGUUAGAAUAACUGAUAGCCAGGAAGAAUGUGAGACGUGACACCUAAGCCUGUCAGGUCACUAGUGUACCAGCGAGAGGACUCACACAG